rnacentral:misc_RNA from 1 species
GGAAAGGUCAAUAUUUGACAAAUGGCCGCUAUCUGUCAGUUUUGUGCGGAAUAAACACCACGGACGUUUAUUUAUUUUUAAAAUAAUAAUGGAUGAAAUUUGCCGAUUAUGUUGUUCUACAAAGUUUGUUAAUAAUGAUAUAUUUGACGAAGAAAAUGCGUUGUACCUAAAAAUGUCUUUAUAUUUGCCAAUAAAGGUUUUUAAAAACGACCGGCUCCCCAGAAAAGUCUGCGACAAGUGCAGUUGCAAAGUGAACGACUUCUAUCAGUUUUGUAAUGAGACUAUCGAGGUUCAAAAUAGGUUGCGUAGUUUAUUCCUCUCUUCGGAAGCCUGCAUUAAUGCAUCAAUUGAUCUCACACUCGUCAAGCACAGCGCGUCGCCCCCUCCCAGCCAACCCGUGCAAUGCGAGCGCAGCACGCAGACAGAUGAGCCGGGGGCACCUCCUGCCUGUGAAGUCACCGUGCAAGUCAAACAUGAACCAGAUUCGGUUUCAUUAUCACCCGUCAAGAAAGAAGAAGAUAAUUAUUACCACAUAGAUUCUGAUCACUUUGAUGAUGGCUCCUCAGGUAGUGAUGAUAUAUCUUUAAUUAGUCUAAAAAAGAAAAAGAGUAAAGGAUCAACUUUGAAUGGGGUCCAUGCAACUGAUAAAAAGGCAAGAAAGAAAGCAGCCAAUAUGAAAGAAUGGGGAGAGCUGAUGGAGUCUCUGCCUGAUGCAACCCUCACAGUGGUGGAGAGCGGUGAGCCCGGGAUGCCACUAGACAGCAUCAAGGAGGAGAUGCUGGCUGAGAAGCCACAGGACGUGUUCCACUGCUGCACGUGUUUCACACAGUGCUACAGCAGGGCUGAGAUGGUGCAGCACUACAGGCAGCACGCGGCGGAGGCGUCGGCCGAGGCGCCGCCCGCCGCGCCGCCGCCGCCCGACACCGACCCGCUGCGCUGUCCGCGCUGUCGGAAGAAGGUGUCUCGCGGCGAGUGGGCGGCGCACUGGGCGCGGCACUGGGAGCGCGACCGCCGCCCCUACUCCUGCGCGCUCUGCGAGAAGACCUUCCGCGACCCGCACCAGAUAUUCAAGCACGGCACGACGCACAAGCUGGAGGCGGGCGGCGCGGCGGAGCCCGUCAACAAGCGCUUCGUGUGCGACCUGUGUCCCGAGGCCUUCGUCUACAUGCGCUACCUGCAGGCGCACCGCACGCGCGCGCACCCGGAGGCGGCGGGGCGGGCACUGGCGCUGCGCUGCGGGCUGUGCGCGCGCGGCUUCGCGCACAUCAACUCGCUGCGGCGCCACCUGCGCGCGCACUCGGGCGAGCGCAACUUCCUGUGCAGCGUGUGCGGCAAGGCGCUGUCGUCGCGCGAGCACCUCAAGUUCCACGUGCGCAUCCACACGGGCUACAAGCCCAACGUGUGCGCCGUGUGCGGCAAGGGCUUCGUCAAGAAGUGCAACCUCACGCUGCACGAGCGCGUGCACUCGGGCGAGAAGCCGCACGUGUGCGCGCACUGCGGCAAGGCCUUCAGCCAGCGCUCCACGCUCGUCAUCCACGAGCGCUACCACAGCGGCGCGCGGCCCUACGUGUGCGGGCUCUGCGGCCGCGGCUUCGUCGCCAAGGGGCUGCUCUCCAUGCAUCUCAAGACCACCUGCAUCUAGCGGAGCACAACGGUAACGACGCAUUCUUGUUCUUUACUGAAGCCAUAUCAAUCGUAUUCACGCAAACGCCACGCUCCCCGGGCUGAGCACAUACAGACUGAUGUACUAGAUAAUAUAUACUGCCGCGUGACGUCACGCGCACAGGUAAACCUACCACUACAUACGGGAACACUACACUACUACACUUCUGUUAUACAUGUAUUCAAAAGUUGGGACUUGCAGUUGCCAUACCAAUAUUUACCGGUAUUUGUAACAAGAUCCUAUAGGUUUUAAUUUUUAAUACUGUGGGCCCCUAACGGACCAUCAAAGAAACUUUCAGUUAAAUAAUAUUGCAUAAUUUAGUAAUUGUGUACAAUAACAUGUACAUUUGUACAUAGUUCCCCAAUAUUCCGCAAGUACCGCGUGGCGCUGUCUCGUGGACACUAGUGAUUCUUCACUCACUGUUACAGUAACGUACCUCGCAUUUAUCACUAAUGUAGACCAUUAAGUUCUGGCGUUAUUCAUUAACAUUGCGAUAAAAACAUCACAAAUAAUAACAUGAGUAGCGGUUUCCUCCGCAAAUGUAUUGAAAAAACACCCACAUUAUUAUGUAAGUUUAGUUCCAUUGUAAUAUACCUGAUUGUAUUUAUUUCACUUGUAAAGUUAAUAAAUUGUUUUUAAAGCAUAAUUUAAUCACAAAAAGUUACUAACCAACCAACUUCAAAAAACCGGCCAAGUGCGAGUCGGACUCGUGCACGAAGGGUUCCGUAAAUUACAGUUAAA